GCGCCCGUAGCUCAGUGGUAGAGCAACCGCCUUUUAAGCGGUGCGUCGUGGGUUCGAUCCCCACCGGGCACACCA
rnacentral:tRNA from 1 species